AACUGUAAGUCAGCCACGACUGAAGCUCCUUCAUUGAUCUCCUUGUUGCAUUUUGAAUAAUUUCCACAGAAACUGGAAGUGUUCCCUGAACCAGCAGAAGCUUCCUUACUUCCAGCAAUUAUCUUAAGGAUUCCUUCAGGACAGGGAGCAGAACAAAGCACUAACUACUCAUUCAUCCAGUCACAGGAGUUUGCAGAAGCUCAUGAAACUUCACAAUCAAAUUCCUAGGUUGAAAAUACAGAGUUCGAGCCAGCAGUUGGUCCCAAUCUACUACAUCAGAGCUGGACUUUGAAGGUGAAACAAAGAAAAAGUACAAGCUCUUCAUCACUUAUCAGCAUUCCCCAAGGGGAGAGAGAACCCUAUGAACUAUUUAUGCCAAUGUGAUUAAAAUAAAAAUCUA